AGAUAAGAAAGCUGAUGAACAAGCUGAGACUGACAAGAUGGAUGAAGACUCGAAAAUCAAGGAAAAUAACAAGUCAAAAGAAGAUGAGGGAACAGAAAAAGAAAAGGACACCAAAGAAGAGGAGGAUACCAAGGAAGAAAAAGAAAAUGAAGAAGAAAAAGAAAAAGAUGAACAUAAGACUGAAGCAAUGGAAGAAGAAAAUGGACCAAAUGAACAAGAGGUGGCUGAAGAAAAAGUGGGGGACAAAGAAGAUGGGAAAGUGAAGUCUGAUGAGGCUGAGGACAAUGUACAGA
rnacentral:lncRNA from 1 species